UAUUGGGGCACUGUGGAGAUGCAAUUACAUUUUCACUUGGAAUUCAGACCAUGCUGGUCCCUAAGUGACUGUCCACACAGCAGUCCAGGAGGCCUCCUUUCUGCUGAAUGGUGCUGGAAGAAAUAGAUGGUCUGAUGAUACAGCAUCCUUACAUACAGAAGCCUUGGAUCCAGCUGCUUUCAGAGGAAAAGAGGGCAGAGGAAAACUUGUCCACCUGGGCUGAAAUAGGCUGCUUUCUCUGUCCUUGCCUGUCGAUGGAGCCAGGAGUACAAGUUCACAACAUCAGGGAAGCAAGAGACUGAGAGAAGGGGAUGGAAAAUGCUGUUGAAAUGGUUGUCAAGGUUGUGAGCCGAGGUCAGGCUGUGCCAAUGAACAGGCCAGGCUCUGGAGGAUGUUGCCAGAUGCAGCAGCAGAAAUAGCUCUGGAAGAAGACCCAAGAUGAGACCUGCCCUCUGUAGGAGUGACCCCUGCAACCUCGAGGUCACUGCUGAGCUGAGCAGAAGAGGGAGCACGAAUGUAGGAGUAGGAGGACCUGAGCUGUUCCCAGUCCCUGGAGCACUGGUCUCCAGUGAUUCUCCCGGAGCUGCAGGCUGAUGUGGAAGAGAGGGCUGUCAAUGCAGACUCGGGGCAGAA